rnacentral:rRNA from 2 species
UACGGAGGAUCCAAGCGUUAUCCGGAUUUAUUGGGUUUAAAGGGUGCGUAGGCGGCCAAUUAAGUCAGGGGUGAAAGACGGUAGCUUAACUAUCGCAGUGCCUUUGAUACUGAUUGGCUUGAAUCCACUUGAGGUAGGCGGAAUGUGACAAGUAGCGGUGAAAUGCAUAGAUAUGUCACAGAACACCAAUUGCGAAGGCAGCUUACUAAAGUGGCAUUGACGCUGAGGCACGAAAGCGUGGGGAUCAAACAGG